GCAAGCGCUCCAUCUGAUCUUCUAAUCUCUUUGACAAAAAGAGAUAAUGCGCCGAUCAUAAUAUCUGCAGAAUGGUAUAAUAUCUAGAUUAAUUCAGUACUUCCCAGCUUUGUAAAAAUCUGAAGAAAAUAAGGGUUUUGUAGUUUCAGUUCUAAUAAUAUAAUGAGAGACAUACCUAUCCACACGGUAAUAAACCAUGCUUGUAGUUAUUAUGGAAUAUAAUGCAGAGUUAAAUCUGCAUUGGAUCACAUCAGAACAUCCUUGUAGACAAUAUUUUUUGUGCUUUUCCCUGAUGGGUCAUUUUUCCCUGUUUGGUUUUACAAGUAUU
rnacentral:lncRNA from 1 species